GCCGGGUGCGAUGGCACACGCCUGUAAUCCCAGCGGUUAGGGAGGCUGAGGCAGGAGGAUUGCAAGUUCAAAGCCAGCCUCAGCAAAAGCGAGGCACUAAAUGACUCAGUGGGACCCUGUCUCUA
rnacentral:sRNA from 1 species